UCCCUGAUAGCUCAGUUGGUAAAGAAUCUGCUUGCAAUGCAGGAGACCUUGGUUCCAUUCCUGGGUCGGGAA
rnacentral:tRNA from 1 species